rnacentral:rRNA from 1 species
AAGACUUGGCGGUGCCCUAUACCACCUAGAGGAGCCUGUUCUAUAAUUGAUAAUCCUCGAUUAACCUCACCAACUCUUGCCAAUACUGCCUGUAUACCUCCGUCGUCAACUAACCCCACGAGGGAGAAAGUUGGUUUAGUGGCUUAUCACCAAAAAGUCAGGUCAAGGUGCAGCGAAUGAGUUGGGAAGAAAUGGGCUACAUUGUCUACCAGUAGACCACACGAAAAAUCAUUAUGAAAUCUGAUUGGAAGGCGGAUUUAGCAGUAAAAAGAGACUAGAGUGCUCUUUUUAAGUUGGCCCUGGGGCGCGUACAUACUGCCCGUCACCCUCUUCGACUCUGUACUUCAUAUUUACAUAAUACCCCAAAAAGAGAAAAGAAGAGGCAAGUCGUAACAUGGUAAGUCCACCGGAAGGUGGACUUGG